UACGUAGGGGGCUAGCGUUGUCCGGAAUCAUUGGGCGUAAAGAGCGUGUAGGCGGCCCGGUAAGUCCGCUGUAAAAGUCAAAGGCUCAACCUUUGAAUGUCAGUGGAUACUGCCGGGCUAGAGUCCGGAAGAGGCGAGUGGAACUCCUGGUGUAGCGGUGAAAUGCGCAGAUAUCAGGAGGAACACCAGCGGCGAAGGCGGCGCUCUGGGCCGGAACUGACGCUGAGGAGCGAAAGCGUGGGUAGCAAACAGG
rnacentral:rRNA from 1 species